GACGGAGGGUGCAAGCGUUGUUCGGAAUUACUGGGCGUAAAGCGCGUGUAGGCGGUUCGAUAAGUCGAAUGUGAAAGCCCGAGGCUCAACUUCGGAAGUGCAUUCGAUACUGUCGGGCUUGAGUACGGGAGAGGGAAGCGGAAUUCCUGGUGUAGAGGUGAAAUUCGUAGAUAUCAGGAGGAACACCGGUGGCGAAGGCGGCUUCCUGGACCGAUACUGACGCUGAGACGCGAAAGCGUGGGGAGCAAACAGG
rnacentral:rRNA from 1 species